rnacentral:rRNA from 1 species
AUUGAACGCUGGCGGCAUGCUUUACACAUGCAAGUCGGACGAGUGGCGAACGGGUGAGUAACAUAUCGGAACGUACCGAGUAAUGGGGGAUACCUAAUCGAAAGAUUAGCUAAUACCGCAUAUUCUUCGAUCGUCCGUUAUCUGAUUAGCUGGUGGGUGGGGUAAAGGCCUACCAAGGCGACGAUCAGUAGCGGGGCUGAGAGGAUGAUCCGCCACACGGGGACUGAGACACGGCCCAGAUUCCUACGUGAGGCAGGAGUGGGGAAUGUUGGACAAGGGGCGCAAGCCUGAUGCAGGCAUGCCGCGUGUCUGAAGAAGGCCUUCGGGUUGUAAAGGACUUUUGUCAGGGAAGCGGGAAAUGAAGAAUAAGCACAGGCUAACUACGUGCCAGCCGGCGCGGUAAUAG